rfam:Talaromyces stipitatus ATCC 10500 scf_1107713415083 genomic scaffold, whole genome shotgun sequence.
UUUUUUGAAAAAUGGAAAUAAAUAUUUUAUGAUAACAAGAAUUGAACAGGCUAAUUUGCGCAAGAGAGUACAAAUUGAGUGCGCGGUUUGGCACCUCGAUGUCGGCUUAGCUCAUCCACAUGAAUGCAAAAAUCAUGAAGGGUUCGACUGUUCGUCGAUUAAAGAGCUACAUGAGCUGGGUUUAAUACGUCGUGAGACAGUAUGGUUUCUAUCUUCUAGAGGAAAUUGAAGUAAAAUAAAGAUAGCCCCUUCGUACGAAAGGAGUUGGGUAUGUUGAUCUAUGGUUUACUUGUUGUUUAUAGUGCAAUAUUAUUGCCACUUACUUUUACUUAAGUAAGUUGUUUAUAGGCAUGGCAAGAAAGCUACAUCAAUUAAAGAUAAGUGCUGAAUGCAUUUAAGCGCGAAACUCACUUUAAGAUACUUAUGAACGUAGUAGAACACUACGAUUUAUUAUAAAUAAAAAUUUUUUUUUAUAGUAAAUAGGUUUUAGU